rnacentral:misc_RNA from 1 species
GCAAACUUGGUCAUUUAGAGGAAGUAAAAGUCGUAACAAGGUUUCCGUAGGUGAACCUGCGGAAGGAUCAUUAAAGGAUACGAGCUUAGGCUCGAUUCUCUCACCACUGUGUAUUUACUUUGUUGCUUUGGGGGGUUUGAAGCCGCCUGCAAAGGUGAACUCGACCCCCCAAAGGUCAUUUCAAAAUCUUUUGUCUGACGAACGUCCGAUUUUUACCUUCGUUAAUACGAUAAAUACAACUUUCAACAAUGGAUCUCUUGGCUCCGGCAUCGAUGAAGAACGCAGC